GAUUAACGCUGGCGGCGUGCAUAACACAUGCAAGUCGAACGAUGAAACUUUUUUGAUUUCUUCGGAAUGAUUAAAAGUGGAUUAGUGGCGGACGGGUGAGUAACGCGUGAGUAACCUGCCUUAGAGAAGGGGAUAGCCUUUGGAAACGAAGAAUAAUACCCUAUGAAACCAUAACCUCGCAUGAGGCCUUGGUCAAAGAUUUAUCGCUCUAAGAUGAACUUGCGUCUGAUUAGUUAGUUGGUGGGGUAACGGCCCACCAAGACAGCGAUCAGUAGCCGGCUUGAGAGAGUGUACGGCCACAUUGGGACUGAGACACGGCCCAGACUCCUACGGGAGGCAGCAGUGGGGAAUUUUGCACAAUGGGGGAAACCCUGAUGCAGCGACGCCGCGUGAUUUAUAAGGCCUUCGGGUUGUAAAAAUCUUUUCUAUGGGAAGAAAAUGACAGUACCAUAGGAAUAAGGACCGGCUAAUUACGUGCCAGCAGCCGCGGUAAUACGUAAGGUCCGAGCGUUGUCCGGAAUCAUUGGGCGUAAAGGGUACGUAGGCGGGUAAGCAAGUUAGAAGUGAAAUCCUAUAGCUCAACUAUAGUAAGCUUUUAAAACUGCUCAUCUUGGAGGUAUGGAAGGGAAAGUGGAAUUCCUAGUGUUGCGGUGAAAUGCGCAGAUAUAUGAGGAAUACCGGUGGCGAAGGCGACUUUCUGGUCAUAUCUGACGCUGAGGUAUGAAAAGCGUGGUGAGCAAACAGGAUUAUAUACCCUGAGUAUGCCAGGGGCUGAAUUCUUGGUUGUAUAUCAAGCUUAUCGGUACCGUCUACCUCGCAGGGGGUGCUCGGUGCCCUGCUGUUGUUUCCUUUGAGAUGUGUGAUGUAGGUGUGAGGGCUGUAGUGAUGUGUUGUUGUGUUGGGUGUUGUGGUGGAUGUUUUGUGUUGUGUGGUGUUGGUGCUGUGGGUGGAUGGUGGCUGGUUGGUGUGUGUGUGAUC
rnacentral:rRNA from 1 species